CCUACGGGAGGCAGCAGUGGGGAAUCUUGCGCAAUGGGCGAAAGCCUGACGCAGCCAUGCCGCGUGAAUGAUGAAGGUCUUAGGAUUGUAAAAUUCUUUCACCGGGGACGAUAAUGACGGUACCCGGAGAAGAAGCCCCGGCUAACUUCGUGCCAGCAGCCGCGGUAAUACGAAGGGGGCUAGCGUUGCUCGGAAUUACUGGGCGUAAAGGGAGCGUAGGCGGAUAGUUUAGUCAGAGGUGAAAGCCCAGGGCUCAACCUUGGAAUUGCCUUUGAUACUGGCUAUCUUGAGUAUGGGAGAGGUUAGCGGAACUCCGAGUGUAGAGGUGAAAUUCGUAGAUAUUCGGAAGAACACCAGUGGCGAAGGCGGCUAACUGGCCCAUUACUGACGCUGAGGCUCGAAAGCGUGGGGAGCAAACAGGAUUAGAUACCCUGGUAGUCCACGCCGUAAACGAUGAGUGCUAGUUGUCGGCAUGCAUGCAUGUCGGUGACGCAGCUAACGCAUUAAGCACUCCGCCUGGGGAGUACGGUCGCAAGAUUAAAACUCAAAGGAUUGACGG
rnacentral:rRNA from 1 species